ensembl:lncRNA
UGCGUCCCAGAGCUUGAUGCCUUGUUCAGAUUAGUUAUGGACCCAGGAGGUGGGAUGCCUGAUGGUCAACAUAACCGUACCAAAAAAGAAAAGAUGACCCACUUGUCAUCUCCCAAAACCAGAGAGUUCUCAUGGCUAUAAAAGCAGAAAGUGGAACUAAAGGUUAAAGAUAAAUGCUGAGUUUAACCACCAAUACAACUACUGUUGCCUUAAGGACUCACUUCGGAAGGCAGCGGUUGGAUCACUCUGUUUUGGAGACUUGAUUUCAGAAAUUCCACACCUCUGAUACCAGCGGGAGCAUCUGGAGCAAUGAAGACUUUCUCUCAGUAGAGAUUAUCAGAACAUUUAAAUAAAUUGGACAAGAGCAAGUCCAUGGGAACCAAUGGGCUACAUCCACACGUGCUGAGGACAGACACCAUUUCAAGGACACUCAAGUAUCUUUGAAAGGUCACAGUAUCAGAGGAGGUUUCUGAGGUCUGGAAGAAACAGAGCCUGCUCAGAUCAACAGAAAGAAGCAAACAAGUUCCAUUUGGGAGUGCCUGCUGAUCUGUUCUCCCAGUAGGAGCUGCCAUCCUGUUCAAGAAGUCACUGGUGGACCAUAUCAACCAGAUCACUUUUUGUCCACAUGCUUGCUGACCAAGUCAAAAAGCACUUGAGAGGCCUGGAAGUGCACACAGAAAUCUCAGCAGGACUCGGAGCCAAACCAACACAUGUAGAAGUUCCCCACCAUAAAGAGAGAAGAUGCAGAG